ensembl:lncRNA
CCGGAGGGUUACCUGGGACGAGGCUUUGGAGCACAGGCAGGCGGCGACGGUGCUUGGCAUUAUUAAUUGAUUUGAAAUCAACGUGUUUAUUUAAUUUUAGACGAUUGACGGGCAUCUCAUCUUUAAAGAUGCGCUUUGCGAGAGCGUUCUUGGAAAAUCGCGUUUGAUUUCGGUUUCUAUUCCAGUCUGCGGCUUUCUGAUUAUUAUGGGCUUUUUUUUUUUCUUCUUUCUUUGGCUGACGUAGCGCCGCGUGCGGGGCGCUCCCCGAUGGGCGCAGGUCCGCGGGCGGCGGCAUUCUCACACACGCGCGGCCGCGGGGAGGGGAGCUAAGUUAGUUACUUUCUGUCUGCGAAGGACUUGGUAGCGUUUUCCCAACCGGAGCCCCGCUGGGCAGUGCGCACACGGUGGCUUCUAGAGAAAACGUAUGAGCCAUCCUUCGCUGGAACAACGGGGAGUACGCGCGCACGCGUUCCCCCGGAGAUUGCGUUCCGAAACUUCGGUAUUCAGCGAAACCCCUGUUCUAAAAGCUUCACUGUUUUCCAGGAAGAGUUGAGUUUCUUUCUUUCUUUCUUUCUUUUUUUUUUUUUUUUUUUAUCGUAUCUUCAGGAAAUGGUUAACGUGGGAGUUCUGGGUACUGUGUAUUUGGUUUUGGUGUCGGGGUGUAAUUCGGCGGAAUCCGUGGCGUGUUGCUCAAACUGCAGUGACCACAGAAUGAAUCGAGGGUCGUUCGUUGCUUUAAGAAGUUGAAGAUCACUUCAACUCUGCGAUGCGAUCAGCUUCUGUUGUAUGCGUUCUUUACAAGCUGUGUGGAGGCAGCUAAAGCAAGCGUGAAGCUUGCAUCUCUGUAAAACUGUGCUCAUUUUUCGGAUGGGAGAGCAAAUCAAAUCAACUUUCAUAUUUACCGAGUAACUACGUGUAGUUGUGUUUGUAUUCCCACUUCAGAAAUCCCCCCCGCUCUCUCGAGGUGAUUGGGUGUCUGUAAGGCAACAAAGGAUACAUAGAAAUCCGUACAGCUCUUAAUUGUCUGGGAGAGUUGGAAAUGUUCUGUUGGGUUACGUUGGGAUUUCUCACCCUUCCUGAAACUGAGUAAAGAGAACAUGACAAAUGACUCAAUUCCAGGAUUUUAACGCUUUUGUUUUCUGCAAAGGGGAAUGCUUUAGAAUGGUCGUGUCGGAAAGGUGGCAGUGUAGAAGCCAAGAACAAAAAUUGGCAGAAAUUAUAUUCUGUAUACGAGAGAAUGAAGAGUAUACUCAUGACUAAGCACAGGAACCUGGAAAACCACAGGAUUCCUGGGAAGCCACGGAGGAUGGGGUGAACUCAGAGCUGGAGCAUGAGGAGUUUUUUGGAACUUGUGAAUGGGAAGUUAUCCUGGUAAGAAGUGACCAAGUGCCACCACCACUGUGUUUAUAAAUACAUUUGGCUGUUCUUGUUUUUCUUUAGGUUCUAGGAAGGCUUUCUGUCUAAACCUUUAAAUUGCUUCUGAGAGAACAUGGUGAUCCCACAAAUGUUCACAGAUGACCAAGUCACCUUGUACAAAGUGAGAACACAUUUGCAGGCAGUUUAUUUCACUGACCAUCAUGUUUGCUCAUCACUUACUUAUGUAUGGUGACCCGCUUAGCAUAGCUGGGGUGGAUGAAGUGUGCAGAACUAAGGCAUGUAUGGCCACGUAAUUCUCAUUGUUAUCACUUAUUAAGCAAAACAGCUAAGCAGUUCAUCCAACUUAAAUGUGGCUAUUUACAAAGGCUUUGAAAUUUUUUUUUCUGAUGUAGUACAGGUCAGCAUAUGCUUGUGGCUUUGUCAAACACUGCUGAGUUCAUUAGUUUGUGCCGAUGUGUUGAGAACAGAAAAUGAAAAUGUUACGGGUACAAAAUUUUAAUGUGGUCUCCCAUUACAUCAAGUGUUUGCCAAAAUAUUAAAUAAAACUGUUAACUAAGCAACGUGCUGCUCAAGAGUUCAAUCUACAGACGCUUCUCUGUGCUAAUUAGGAAGUAUUGACAUCAAUGAAUGAAACUACUUGUUAAAGUGCCUUCUACAGUCUGUAGCAGUUAUGUGUUCAUGAGAUGAUUCAUAGCAUUCAGCAAGUUGUGAUGAGUUUCCCUGCCAUUACUGGAGAUUAUGAAGUAUCUACUGUAUUUGCACUCCUUUUUUUUUUAAAUUAAAUUUGAUGGUGGAAAGGGGAAGAAUUUUCUAUCAACUGAAAGAUCAGGCCUAUUUUCUGAAUUCAUUCAUUAUUUUUCUCUUUACUGUAUGGUGCAAUCUAUCAUUAACAAUAAAAUGAAAUGUUUAAUUGUUUUGUCCAUAAAUACAGCAGUGUGUGUAAAAACUCUCAGGACUUAUUUUGUUCUUGAAAAUUGUGUGCAUCAUGUCAAGUCUGCUAUAUUGUAUUAGUUGUAACUGAAAGAAGAGUUUUCAGUAAGAAACCUGAAUUUGACAUCUAAAACAGCAGAACCAGCACAGAAUACUCUCUGAUUGCGUGCAGGAUGUAUUCAUAGGUGCUACUCUUAUUAAGGGUACUGCAAAUGUUGCAUCUUAGAAAACUGUCCAGUGAUUGUUUUGAACUGAAAGCUGUGGCUGGUUGUGCAUGUUGUUGCCUUAAAACUGUGCAAGCCCCUCAAUGCACUCAG